rnacentral:rRNA from 1 species
AGUGAACGCUGGCGGUAGGCCUAACACAUGCAAGUCGAACGGCAGCACAGUAAGAGCUUGCUCUUACGGGUGGCGAGUGGCGGACGGGUGAGGAAUACAUCGGAAUCUACUUUUUCGUGGGGGAUAACGUAGGGAAACUUACGCUAAUACCGCAUACGACCUACGGGUGAAAGCAGGGGAUCUUUGGACCUUGCGCGAUUGAAUGAGCCGAUGUCGGAUUAGCUAGUUGGCGGGGUAAAGGCCCACCAAGGCGACGAUCCGUAGCUGGUCUGAGAGGAUGAUCAGCCACACUGGAACUGAGACACGGUCCAGACUCCUACGGGAGGCAGCAGUGGGGAAUAUUGGACAAUGGGCGCAAGACUGAUCCAGCCAUACCGCGUGGGUGAAGAAGGCCUUCGGGUUGUAAAGCCCUUUUGUUGGGAAAGAAAAGCAGCAGGUUAAUACCCCGCUGUUCUGACGGUACCCAAAGAAUAAGCACCGGCUAACUUCGUG